UACGUAGGGUGCAAGCGUUGUCCGGAAUUAUUGGGCGUAAAGAGCUCGUAGGCGGUUUGUUGCGUCGGCUGUGAAAUCCCGAGGCUCAACCUCGGGUCUGCAGUCGAUACGAGCAAACUAGAGUGUUGCAGGGGAGACUGGAAUUCCUGGUGUAGCGGUGAAAUGCGUUGAUAUCCGCAGGAACUCCGGUGGCGAAGGCGGCGUGCUGGACCCUUUCUGACGCUGAGGCGCGAAAGCCAGGGGAGCGAACGGGG
rnacentral:rRNA from 1 species